GGCCCCCUAGCUCAGUGGAUUAGAGCGUGAGAUUCCAGUCCUCAAGGUCAUCCGUUCGACUCGGGUGGGGGUCA
rnacentral:tRNA from 1 species